AGUUCCGGAAAUGACUAUAGCUGAAGCUCAAAACUCUGUCUUUGAGAUGGCAAAUGCAGAAUCUGCUCAAACUGGAGUAACUGAAGUGCCUCAAGAAGUUAUAGUCAGAGAGGAAACUGAUUCUGGUAUGCCAGUACUAGAAGCACAAACAAUUCAAGAUAUUGAGUCAGCGUUUUGGCAAGUUUAUGAGAAAGAAAUGGAGAAAUCUAAUGUUUUUGAGCUAUAUAAUGCUGAAUAUUCUGGAAUGCCAGUGUUGGAAGCACAAACUGUUGAAGAUAUUGAGUUAGCAUUUAGAGGUACUUCUGAG
rnacentral:misc_RNA from 1 species